AUGGAAGCCGCAGGCUGGCCGGAGCCGGUGGUGCGGGUGCAGUCGCUGUCGGAGAGCGGCGCGGCCACCAUCCCGGACCGCUACGUGAAGCCGGCGCACGACCGCCCGUCCGUCAACGACGGUACCACCAGCGGCAGCGUGAGCAUCCCCGUGGUGGACCUCUCGUCGCCGGACGGGAGCGCGGCGACGGCGCGGGCGGUGUCGGAGGCUUGCCGUGAGUGGGGCUUCUUCCAGGCGGUGAACCACGGCGUGCCGCGCGACCCCCUCCGCCGCGCGCGCGCCGCGUGGCGCGGGUUCUUCCGCCUCCCCGUGGAGGCCAAGCAGCGGUACGCCAACUCGCCGGCGACGUACGAAGGGUACGGCAGCCGGCUCGGCGUGGAGAGGGGCGCCGUCCUGGACUGGGGCGACUACUACUUCCUCCACCUCCGCCCGCCCGGCAGCCUCUCCGCCGCCGACAAGUGGCCCCACCUCCCUCCCGACCUCCGGGACGCGACGGAGGAGUACGGGAGGGAGGUGGCCUCGCUGUGCGAGCGGCUGAUGGCGGCGAUGUCGGCUGGUCUGGGCGUCAAUCCGGGGAGGCUGCAGGAGGAGUUCGGCGGGGCGGAGGGCGCCGGGGUGUGCGUGCGGGUGAACUACUACCCGCGGUGCCCGCAGCCGGAGCUGACGCUGGGCCUCUCCUCGCACUCGGACCCCGGCGGCAUGACGGUGCUCCUCGCCGACGAGCGCGUGAGGGGCCUCCAGGUGCGCGGCCGCGGCGGCGAGUGGGUCACCGUCGACCCCAUCGCCGACGCCUUCAUCGUCAACGUCGGGGACCAGAUCCAGGUGCUGACGAACACGACGUACCGGAGCGUGGAGCACCGGGUGAUGGUGAACGCGGACGCGGAGCGGCUGUCGGUGGCCAUGUUCUACAACCCAAGGAGCGACCUGCCGCUGGCGCCCAUGGCGGAGCUGGUGUCGCCGGGGACGCCGGCGCUGUACAAGCCCAUGACCUUCGACGAGUACCGCCUCUACAUCCGGCGGAACGGCCCCCGCGGGAAGAGCCAGGUCGAGUCGCUCAAGGCCCAUGAAGACAGAUGA
rnacentral:rRNA from 1 species